GGCCCUGUAGCAUAACUGGAUACUGCACCUCGUUACGGCCGAGGAGAAUUGGGGUUCGAAUCCCUACAGGGUCA
rnacentral:tRNA from 1 species